rnacentral:rRNA from 1 species
AACGAACGCUGGCGGCAGGCUUAACACAUGCAAGUCGAACGCCCCGCUAGGGGAGUGGCAGAUGGGUGAGUAACGAGUGGGACCAUACCCUUUUCUACGGAAUAGCCCUGGGAAACUGGAAUUAAUACCGUAUACGCCCUACGGGGGAAAGAUUUAUCGGGGAUGGAUUGGCCUGCGUUGGAUUAGCUAGAUGGUGGGGUAUAGGCCUACCAAGGCGACGAUCCAUAGCUGGUCUGAGAGGAUGAUCAGCCACAUUGGGACUGAGACACGGCCCAAACUCCUACGGGAGGCAGCAGUGGGGAAUAUUGGACAAUGGGCGCAAGCCUGAUCCAGCCAUGCCGCGUGAGUGAUGAAGGCCUUAGGGUUGUAAAGCUCUUUCACCGAUGAAGAUAAUGACGGUAGUCGGAGAAGAAGCCCCGGCUAACUUCGUG